AAACUUACCUGGCUGGCGCUCGGGGUGGCUCACGUAUCACCCUGUCGUGGCUCGGAGCGGGGCAUUGCACUCAGCUGACUGUAAUGAGCCAUGGGCUCUCCGUUGUGAGAGUGCCAACAGCAUAAUUUUUGCCUGCGGUGACCUUUUUAGGACGCCAA
rfam:Babesia bigemina strain Bond genome assembly, chromosome: II